CAGGGAUUUCUGGGAAAGGCAGGAAAUCUGGAAUGAGUCACAAAAGAUUUGAGAAUGAGAUGGAAGAGCAGACUUGAGGGGAAGAGAUGAAAAGGAGCCUUCUUCCCCAAGUGACUGAGUUCCAUCCCACCCUCCCACUAGAAGUGUCCUCUGCUCCCUCUUUUUCCUUUAGUGGCACAGGAACUAACCUCACCAGCAUCAAAGUGUAUGGAUGCAACUGGAACAUACUUACCUUGUGCUUAAGAUACUUUCCCAGCUUCAGAUCAGCUACCAUCAGGAACAAUACAGUAACUGUCUGGAUCCAGAAGUUCAUGACCAGUACACUACUUCAGUGGAAACAAAUAGCCAUUGAUGUCCUUCACUCUGGGAAGGCAACAGUACCUAAGACAGAAAUCCAGGGAAAACCAGCCAAAAUGUGUAAGACCACAUCAGGUGUCAUCUUUGUAUUUGCAUUCAGAACCCAUUUUGGUGGUGGGAAGACACCUGGCUUUGGCAUGAUUCCUGGGAUCACACAAAGAAAAAUGAACCCAUAGACAUACAAGGUAUGUCCUGUAUGAGAGGAAAAUACCUCAAGAAAACAGGGAAAGGAAUGUAAGAAUAGGGUAAAGAAAGAGGGGCUGCAGAGGCCAGUACUGGUGCUGCAAAAAGUGAGUUGGAAGAACAUUUACUCCUGGACAACAGGAGUAAAUGUUCUUCAGUAACUUCAUCUGUGGUGAUUGUGCAGAUUUUUCAUGAUGGGAUUAAUAAGCUAAGAACUUUUAAAAAAGUCAAAAAUACAUCUGGGAGAAUGGAAGGACCUGGGCCGGGGGUGGGGGGGUCAACUGAUUCUUCUAGCUGCGAUUAAGGAAGAUGAGCCCCAUUCUGGAACAAUUAUUCCCUCUUCCAAGGGGGCACUGAAUGCCUUGCUGAAGAUGGGUCUGAGGGAAAACCCCAUAUUUGACAAGUU